rnacentral:rRNA from 1 species
UACGUAGGGUGCGAGCGUUAAUCGGAAUUACUGGGCGUAAAGCGUGCGCAGGCGGUUGUGCAAGACAGAUGUGAAAUCCCCGGGCUUAACCUGGGAAUUGCAUUUGUGACUGCACGGCUAGAGUGUGUCAGAGGGGGGUAGAAUUCCACGUGUAGCAGUGAAAUGCUUAGAUAUGUGGAGGAAUACCGAUGGCGAAGGCAGCCCCCUGGGAUAACACUGACGCUCAUGCACGAAAGCGUGGGGAGCAAACAGGG